AUUUAAUUCACAAAUGAUCCAUUCACUUCAGAACAAACAAAUAAAUGAAAAUAGCUCCAUAACCACAGAUGUGACAACUCCUCCUGGGGCACUGUCACCCAAUCUUUACUCAAAUGAAUGCAUGCAUUCCCACCAGAAUACAGGAUGUGGGGACGCGUGGCUCCAUUCACAUUAGUGCCAUUCUCAGAAGCAUGACUAGGUGGGUGGCUCCUACAGAUGACGUUUAACUGCCUUCAUCUUCACAGAGGACAGCAAUCACCUCAUUGAGCUUUAUAGCUUACAGAGGCUAAAAACCACUCUACGGAGGAAAUCCAGGAUUUCCAGUGGUACUACAGGAGAUGAAGCUGUACACAGGCUACUGAGGACUGAAGGACAACUUACUUAGGAUUCGGAAUGACUACCCAGCUUGUGAGUGGACUAAGGCCUUUGAUUCUCCUGCUUCUUCUCCUCCCUCCUUGAUCUUUUAAUUGCUCAUAAAAACUCUAUGAGGUCAGCAGAGCAAGAUGCAAAGAAUGUGUCCAAAUAGUCCAUUUGGUUUCUUUUGAGUCAAUCGAGUUAAAGUGUUUUAAGAGAAGAUCAAAUCUAUUGGCUAACAAGAGGACCAGAGGUCAUGUGUGGAUUUUGAUUGUCCAUACCAUGCGUGUCCAAACCAGAAUGAGACUCACAGAAGCAGAGAAUAAGGAGCUAUGAGAGAAGGAAUAGAAUUGUUUUUCAGCUUUACACAUUUGAGAGAUGCAGAAACCGAUGCCCAGAGAGCAUAACGGACUUGGUCAACGUCACAGAACUUGUUUAAAGUAGGAUAAAAAAGCACGAAGUCAUUUAAUAUUUGAUAACUAGCAUCAAGUAUGUUAUAUUGAAUAUAUAUAUUUAUAUUAAAUAAUAAAAAGUUUCAUCUAAGGCUCUAUUUUUAAAUAACAGUUGUUUUCCAUUAUAGAUCUGCAAAGACAAUUUUAUAAGUCAUCUGUUAAUAAUAUGUUAUUUCAAAGCAAACUAUCCAUCAGGCAAUCAUAAAGUAUGCUAGGAGGUGGCAUGGCUUUUGUUUCACAGAAGAAAACAGAGUGAGAUAUAUUUGAUGACUGAAGCAUAGAAGUUCCUUUGAGCCAUUAGCCAACCUGCUACUGUUCCCGCAAAGAUAUCUUAAAGGACUGCACAAAGUGAGCACAACUGUUCCUCCUGGGAGGUAGAAAGCAGGAGGGGACAGGCAGGGAAAUAUGAAAAAUGAAUCUUUCCAUCCCCUCAUUUGCUUGUCACUGUACACACUCUCAUGAGACAUAAGACACACUCUUAUGUCUGGAAGGUGUGAUUUCAAAUUUUACACAACCUGAAAGAAGGAAAGGUUCUCUGUCGACACUGGAGAGGUAAUAGGGCUUGGCAUGGGGAGAGAUGAAAUUCGAGUUACACUUGGGACAACUUUAAUUUCAAUUUAUAAUAAAACUCUAUUACAAGGCUAUACUACAGAUAGUCAGUAGAAGACUCAACUCAAGAGCAGAGAGGGCUCUGGAGAAAUGUAGUAGACAUGGAAAAUGACUUUUGCAUGGGAGAAAGAAUACAGAGAAGAGGAAAAAAUAAAGCCUCCAGCAGUAAACCAGGUCUUCCUUGACCCUCAGAAAAAUCAAGAAAGGAAUAUUAACAGUACUGUGGAUUGAAGAAAAGCCAAAUAAACCUUCCGCAAUAAUAGCUUGUCUUAUAGAUUUGCAAAAAGUAAUCACUGGAGAAAAUGACAGGGCCAGCAUAAUUCCAGAGGAAAGUGAAAUAAGAAAGACACCUUUCAUUUUCUCUAUGGGGACAGAAAAUAUGUGGUGGCAAUGUAGGGUUGUCUCAGAAAUCUUAUUGGCCACAUUUAUUCCUCUCAUUAAAUGUUGAUACGUGUGACACAUAAUAUGUUCUGUUAAUUAAGCCUCUUAACAUAACUUCGUGGACUUCAGAAGUUUGUAGGACUCAGGGGAAGAAGAUUCUACAACCCAGCAAACUUCCAAGAAAGCAAUUACCCAGAAGAGUUUAUCCAAGUGUGCGUGGCUGACAAAGCUGCCUCACCAUUUCAGAACAGCUCCAUAGCAUUCCAGUACUAACAUUCUGUGCUUCGAAUCAAUCAAUCACUGUAAAAUCUGCCCAGAAGACUCCAUCAUCUCUUUCCUCCAAGGCAAGAGAAGGAAAUAGGACAAAAGCAGAUGCUACACUGAACAGAUGACUUCUUCCCAUCAGCACAGCCAUUGCUCACACCCUGACUGCCAUCCUGCCAUCUUGUUCAGGGACCUACAUGGGCUUCAUUGAAAACUCAAAAACAAUUCAAAUUCUUAUUUGUCCAAAAAAGCCCAGAGCCUUCUCCAUCUAGUCCCAAGCUGAGAACAAUCUACGGCCCUUUCAUCCUUUUAUCCUUUUAUUUCACACUUCUUGGACACCUGCCAUAUUUCCUUCCUUCAUUUUGGUAUGAAGUCAGAGGUCAAAUUCAAGACCUGUUAGAAAAGCAUUCCAGAUCUCACAAAUGAUGAUCAGUGCAUUUAGCCCACAUCAGGGAAUCCAUCGCUUUUACUCCAUUAAUUCUCAUUUCUGCCCACUGGGCACAGAACCUUACAGGAAGCACUAGAAGCUUGGAUUGUGCCACAAGGACGUUACCAUCUAGUUGGAGAGACCAAAGCACAGGAAAUAAGGACCUCCUUACAAGUGAAACAUGAAUCCAAAAUGCCAGCUGGGAAGAGCAAAAAGCAAUUAGGAAGUAAGAGAAUUGUAGUUCUGUUUGUUUCUACUCCCACAGCCAUUUAAAGUCAUUGGACUUAUGGAAUUGGAAGUGGCCUCAGAGACCAUCUAGCUACCUCUUUUAUUUUAAGUAAGAGUUCUUUAAUAAUUGGUUCUUAUUUGUAUGUUUUAUGCAAAUUUAUAAUGUUUUAAAAUGAUUCAAGUUUAGAAUAAGACUUCUAAUUAACACCUGGAAGUCAAGUUGAAUGAUUAUUUAAUACACUUAACCAUAAUGUAAUUAACCAUAAACAUACAAAUGAAUGUUUAAGUUUCAGAAUGGAAAUACAACCAGAAACACAAUAAAUAUAUAUGGAAACUAUUGUUUUCUGCUAACUAUAGAGAAUAUUAGGCUACAAAA
rnacentral:lncRNA from 1 species